GAGGGCUUUUUCCAGAGAAUACCUUGUCAGACUCCUGCAAAUUCCACCUGGGGCUUUUGGCUUGCUUAUCUCCUUUGAACAAAACUACUGCAACAUGCAGUGCAAAAGGUGGGGAUUCUCUCCGGGAGCCAGGAAACAGGCCACAGAAGGCUCUGAACAUGGCAGUGUGGCCUUCGGUCAUGCCUCGUUAGUUUAGAGUUUAUACUCAGCAUGGGGUUUUGAGUCUCCUUGAGUGCCUGAACCAAAGUCCCAAAGCGGUAGAGCCCACAGUCAGGUAGAGGAAGUUUCUGAUAUUGUUGAUAUUUUAAUCUUAAGCCCUUCAAGAUUUUUGUUUAGCAGGGUGAAACAUUUUUGUCUAGUUUUAACAUGGUUUCUAAAUUAGUAGCAUAUUUAACUUUGUAUAUAAGCCUGUAGAAAGUAUGAAAACACUGGAAUAAAAAGGGCAUAUCUAGACGAUUGUAUAUAAUGACCCUAAUAUUAAAGGCAAGGGGGAAUAGUUUUUUUUUGGUGUAUUUUUUGUUUUUUGUUUUUGUUUUACCUGUAGUACACCUUUGGAGUACCAUAAAUACGUGGAAAAAAUAGCUAUCUGGGGAUCUUGGGGCUUUUGAACAAAACUACUACUAGCUUAAUGUUUUACAUUUUUAUUGUACAAUUCACUACCAAAUGUUUACGUAGAAUAAAAUGGAUACAGGUGUGUGUCUCCAUAACUAAUGCAUGGACAUUAGCUACAGCAACCUUUUGCAGUCUCCUGAGUCCCAUAGCCUAUCUGUAACUGUACACUGCAGAAUCACAGAAUUGAGGAAUCUUUUUCCCCAAAAUGUACUAGAUACGACCACAUGUGGGUUUUGCAGUCGUGUUGAGCCCAUCAAAAACUACUUGGUGCUUCUUGAGGGUAUCUUGAAAAGUUCUUCCUGGCAAGUUCUGCUAUGACACCAAAUGGUGGUAACUAGUGGUAUCCUUAUCCGAGUCUGUCGAACAUUGAUGUAUUGAUUGUAUAGUUAUCUAGAAGAGCUGAACAAUGAAUGAAACCAAGACAGAGUUGUAUUCUUUUAGCUUAGGGCUCUUGCAAAAAUGACGCUGGUCAAGUUAGAUGAACUCUUGGUGACCAGCAGAUCAAAAAAAAUUAGUUUGUCAAAAGUGAUGCGAGUUCUGAUCCACUUCUCUACUGUAUCUUAAAUGCAGUAGAAUUUUCUCACAGAAAAGCUUGGUGUUUCCUGUCCUCUGUAAAACAACACGUCUUUUCUAGGACUUCAGUCUUUGCACUGUUGUAAACGGAUUUGUGAGUUAGGGGUUUUCUGAUUUAUUUAUUUUGUGUUUGUUUUGUUGCUAGGAUAGCUAUGUGGUGGCUGUCACACCUGGUAAGGUAAAUUGAUAUAUGUAAAUCAUGGGACUACAAUGAAACAUUAUGUAAAUAUUAACUGUUCAUACUUGGUGCACAAGAAAAGGUUCCAUUAUAUGUUUUCCACAUGCUGACACUUCAUGGAUGACUUCAAUGUAUAAUUAGAGUAUCUCUAUGUAUUACCAAAAACUUGCUUAUGAAAUCUGGCACUCAGAAUAGAAAAGAAUGUGAAUUUGCAA